rnacentral:rRNA from 1 species
CCCUUAGAUGUUCUGGGCUGCACGCGCGCUACACUGAUGCACUCAACGAGUUUACGACCUUGCCCGAUAGGGUUGGGUAAUCUUUUUAAAAUGCAUCGUGAUGGGGAUAGAUUAUUGCAAUUAUUAAUCUUCAACGAGGAAUUCCUAGUAAGCGCGAGUCAUCAGCUCGUGCUGAUUACGUCCCUGCCCUUUGUACACACCGCCCGUCACUCCUACCGAUUGAGUGCUCAGGUGAAUAAUUCGGACUGCAGCAAUGUUUGGAUCCCGAACGUUGCAGCGGAAAGUUUAGUGAACCUUAUCACUUAGAGGAAGGAGAAGUCGUAACA